CCUACGGGUGGCAGCAGUGAGGAAUAUUGGUCAAUGGUCGAGAGUCUGAACCAGCCAAGUAGCGUGAAGGAUGACUGCCCUAUGGGUUGUAAACUUCUUUUAUGUGGGAAUAAAAUGUUCCACGUGUGGGGUUUUGUAUGUACCAUAUGAAUAAGGAUCGGCUAACUCCGUGCCAGCAGCCGCGGUAAUACGGAGGAUCCGAGCGUUAUCCGGAUUUAUUGGGUUUAAAGGGAGCGUAGGGGGCGUGUGAAGUCAGUUGUGAAAGUAUGCGGCUCAACCGUGAAAUUGCAGUUGAAACUGGCAGGCUUGAGUACAGGAGACGUGUGCGGAAUUCGUGGUGUAGCGGUGAAAUGCUUAGAUAUCACGAAGAACUCCGAUUGCGAAGGCAGCUCACUGGACUGCAACUGACACUGAGGCUCGAAAGUGUGGGUAUCAAACAGGAUUAGAUACCCUAGUAGUC
rnacentral:rRNA from 1 species